UACGUAGGGUGCAAGCGUUAAUCGGAAUUACUGGGCGUAAAGCGUGCGCAGGCGGUUGUGCAGGACAGAUGUGAAAUCCCCGGGCUUAACCUGGGAACUGCAUUUGUGACUGCACGGCUAGAGUGUGUCAGAGGGGGGUGGAAUUCCACGUGUAGCAGUGAAAUGCGUAGAUAUGUGGAGGAAUACCGAUGGCGAAGGCAGCCCCCUGGGAUAACACUGACGCUCAUGCACGAAAGCGUGGGGAGCAAACAGG
rnacentral:rRNA from 1 species